AUUGAACGCUGGCGGCAUGCCUAACACAUGCAAGUCGAACGGUAACAGGCCCUUCGGGGCGCUGACGAGUGGCGGACGGGUGAGUAAUGCUUAGGAAUCUGCCUAGUAGUGGGGGAUAACCCGGGGAAACUCGGGCUAAUACCGCAUACGUCCUACGGGAGAAAGCGGGGGGACCUUCGGGCCUCGCGCUAUUAGAUGAGCCUAAGUCCGAUUAGCUAGUUGGUAGGGUAACGGCCUACCAAGGCGACGANCGGUAGCUGGUCUGAGAGGACGACCAGCCACACUGGGACUGAGACACGGCCCAGACUCCUACGGGAGGCAGCAGUGGGGAAUAUUGGACAAUGGGCGCAAGCCUGAUCCAGCGAUGCCGCGUGUGU
rnacentral:rRNA from 1 species